rnacentral:ncRNA from 1 species
GCAAUAGAGGCGCGAAUCUCAAGAGUAACCGUCCGGAGGCUGCGGAAAGCCCGGGAGGGGCGGCAAAAGGGGGCUUCGCCGAAACCGGCAUUUUCCGUGGAAUGCUGCAGUUGGGGUACAGUUUAACAGGCUGUGCACUCUCACCAGAUGGUGGA